CCUGAAAUUCUGAUGCACCUCUC
rnacentral:miRNA from 1 species